UACGUAGGUGGCAAGCGUUAUCCGGAAUUAUUGGGCGUAAAGCGCGCGCAGGCGGUCCUUUAAGUCUGAUGUGAAAGCCCACGGCUCAACCGUGGAGGGUCAUUGGAAACUGGGGGACUUGAGUGCAGAAGAGGAGAGCGGAAUUCCACGUGUAGCGGUGAAAUGCGCAGAUAUCAGGAAGAACACCUAUGGCGGAGGCAGCUCUCUGGGACGGUACUGACGCUGAGACGCGAAAGCGUGGGGAGCGAACAGG
rnacentral:rRNA from 1 species